AGGAUAAAACGCUGGCGGCGUGCAUUAGACAUGCAAGUCGAACGGACUUUUCGGGGCUUGCUCUGAAAAGUUAGUGGCGGACGGCUGAGUAACGCGUGGGUGACCUACCCCGAAGUGGGGAAUAACUGCCCGAAAGGGUGGCUAAUACCGCAUGUGAUCGUUUGUUCAUUCGAUCGAUCAAAGCAGAAAUGCGCUUCGGGAGGGGCCUGCGUCCGAUUAGCUCGUUGGUGGGUAAUGGCUCACCAAGGCGACGAUCGGUAGGUGGUCUGAGAGGACGAUCACCCAGACUGGGACUGAGACACGGCCCAGACUCCUACGGGAGGCAGCAGUCGGGAAUUUUGCUCAAUGGGCGCAAGCCUGAUCCAGCCAUGCCGCGUGAGUGAAGAAGGCCCUAGGGUUGUAAAGCUCUUUCAGCGGGGAAGAUAAUGACGGUACCCGCAGAAGAAGCCCGGCUAACUUCGUGCCAGCAGCCGC
rnacentral:rRNA from 1 species